rnacentral:sRNA from 12 species
UGCCUCACAAAAUAGUUGUGAGGGACGAGAAUUGUUGUCAACAGUUCGCCAAUCAGUGCUUUGACACAGGAUUGG